rfam:Triticum aestivum genome assembly, contig: Triticum_aestivum_CS42_TGACv1_scaffold_576894_7BL
CUACUACUCCCUCCGUCCGGAAAUACUUGUCAUCAAAAUGAAUUAAAGGGGAUAUAUCUAGAUGUAUAUUAAUUCUAGAUACAUCCAUUUUGAUACAAGUAUUUUUGGAUGGAGGGAGUAUUAA